rnacentral:rRNA from 1 species
UGGGGAAUAUUGCACAAUGGGCGCAAGCCUGAUGCAGCCAUGCCGCGUGUAUGAAGAAGGCCUUCGGGUUGUAAAGUACUUUCAGUCGGGAGGAAGGUGGUAAGGUUAAUAACCUUAUCAAUUGACGUUAUCGACAGAAGAAGCACCGGCUAACUCCGUGCCAGCAGCCGCGGUAAUACGGAGGGUGCAAGCGUUAAUCGGAAUUACUGGGCGUAAAGCGCACGCAGGCGGUUGAUUGAGUCAGAUGUGAAAUCCCCGGGCUUAACCCGGGAAUUGCAUCUGAUACUGGUCAGCUAGAGUCUUGUAGAGGGGGGUAGAAGUCCAUGUGUAGCGGUGAAAUGCGUAGAGAUGUGGAGGAAUACCGGUGGCGAAGGCGGCUCCCUGGACAAAGACUGACGCUCAGGUGCGAAAGCGUGGGGAGCAAACAGG